AUAAUCAACACAAGCGCAUGGAUGUCACAUUUAAUGCAUUAAUGCUGUUCAAACUAACCCGAAACAUCCACGCAAAAUAGUUCUUUUGACACGUUUAAGCUACUACAGGUGGGUAAGUGAAAACUAAAUAAUUUUAAGUGUCACUAAUUGCUGUAUACUUAAAUGAAAUUUUUGGAUGUGCUUUCCAAUAUCACGAGUUACAUACUCAUCGGCCACGUGUCAAACUGUUAGAACAAACAUCUCUAUCGUUUAAUGUGUGUGCAUAAAUGUUACGGUUAUUAUUAGAUACUGACUAAAAUUGUUAUCAGGUCUUAAUAAUUAAUGAACAUAUGUUUAUUUAAAGGAAAAUGAUGAUGACGGUUAGAAGCUAAGAUAAGCUGCGAGGACCAUCAAGCAAAGAAAUAAAGAAGGAAAGCAACAUUCAUCAUGGUUUAUGAAACACUCCUGAAAACCAGUUUUUUAUUAAUGUUCAUUGGAUAUGCCAUCUCUGUUCCUGUAACUACAGAGAAAGCUGACGAUCAAGAAAACGAAGUGUCGAUUGACUUUCAGAAGAGAUCAUCUGAAUGCCCCAUUCUUUGCACUGACUACUUCAGUUAUCUUCAAUGCAAAAGUUGCUCUAUGAGUUGUAACCAAAUUACCCACAUAUGUGAACACAAAAUCAAAGAGGUUCCCAUGAAGAUAAUCAAAAAGCUGCCUGGGGACACUGCCGAGGACACAGAAGAUAAUGAAGUAUCCGAAGACUCUUUCAUAAUAGAUACGGAGAAAUAGAGACAGAAAAACGAUUAAAGGCCUACAAGUGACUAUAGAAACAGCUAUUUCUUGUAUUUUGAACUUGCGCUAGUUAUGCACACCUUUCGUUAGAAAUUAUAACUCAAAAUUAAUCAUAGCUCAUUAAUUUGUAACACGGUUUUAAGAAAAUGACCUUGUUUUCUCCUGAAACGUUUAGGAAUGUCAAAAGUUUCUUGGCAUUUUAGAGCUAGUCCUGAGAGCUUCAUAGCGGCUCAAAAAUACCAAUACUGAGCUUCUCGCAAAUCAUGUGUGGGUAUUGUUUUUAUCGUUUAUCUCAUUGAAAAAAGUUUGUACGUUUCUGAUAAUAAAAGUUCGCCAUUAUUUUCCUGCAUUUAGUUCUGAUCCGAUAUUAUUGUGAAAGUUACACUUUGUUUUAAAUAUCAGACUUGUAAGAAUAUCAUAUAAUAUAUAGAAUGACUUUAACUUAUCCCUAGUAACUUUGUUAGUUAGUGUACCUAGAAGAAAUCUUACAUUUUUUGUUAGAAGUGUUUGGUUUUCACCAAGAAUUUAUGUAUCAUAACGCAUGUUGAGUUCUGAGAAACAGAAAUUUUUUUUGACGUUGACAACUUCAAUUGCAAAUUUGAUUGUGACAUUAUGUUCCUUUUGCAAUUUUUCUUGUAAGUACUGUUAUUAUUUAAAAGAAUAUCCGUGUAUACUUUAUUCGCAAAAAAUGUUGAUAGAAAGAUAGGAUGUAGUAUCACAUUGCGUUAACUUAGAAUUCAAUCAGAACCAAUCUUGAAUUUGCCUAAAAAUCCGAUGCAUAACUUCUUCUUUGUGAUAAUGCAACAAUCAAUGGAAAAGGCUAAAAACAAUUUUACGUUCAUAUGGGAGAAGGUCUCAUAUUUUCUGUGAAGGAUGUGAGACAUGUCGAUACAUAAAAACAACAAUAAUCUUGUCAUGUUAAUCAAAGAUUUAUCACAUUUCAAGAACCGUUUGUUACGGCUGCAGUCCAUCUAUGCAAUAGCUGAACGCGUUUGCAGCUCCUGUGACGUCUUUAUUGUGAGAAAAC